CCCUUAGAUGUCCGGGGCCGCACGCGCGCUACACUGAAGGAAUCAGCGUGGCUUUCUCCCUGACCCGAAAGGGUUGGGAAACCCGUUGAAUCUCCUUCGUGAUAGGGAUUGGGGCUUGAAAUUGUUCCCCAUGAACGAGGAAUUCCUAGUAAAUGCAAGUCAUCAGCUUGCGUUGAUUACGUCCCUGCCCUUUGUACACACCGCCCGUCGCUACUACCGAUUGAAUGGUUUAGUGAGAUCUCCGGAUUGGCUCUGUAGGUCCCGCAAGGGAUUUAUUAGUAGCCAAGAAGCUGCUCAAACUUGAUCAUUUAGAGGAAGUAAAAGUCGUAACA
rnacentral:rRNA from 1 species